rnacentral:rRNA from 1 species
AGCAGCCGCGGUAAUUCCAGCUCCAAUAGCGUAUAUUAAAGUUGUUGCAGUUAAAAAGCUCGUAGUUGAACUUCGGGAUUUGCCCAUUGGUCAGGCUUAACUGUCUGCACUGGUGUGACGAGUUCCUACCUUCUGAGGAAUCUCCAUGUCAUUCAGUUGGUGUGGGGGGAAAUCAGGACUGUUACUUUGAAAAAAUUAGAGUGUUUAAAGCAGGCAUCCGUCUGAAUACAUUAGCAUGGAAUAAUAAAAUAGGACGGUUUGGUUCUAUUUUGUUGGUUUCUAGGAUCACCGUAAUGAUUAAUAGGGAUAGUUGGGGGCAUUAGUAUUCAAUUGUCAGAGGUGAAAUUCUUGGAUUUAUUGAAGACUAACUACUGCGAAAGCAUUUGCCAAGGAUGUUUUCAUUAAUCAAGAACGAAAGUUAGGGGAUCGAAGACGAUCAGAUACCGUCGUAGUCUUAACCAUAAACUAUGCCGACUAGGGAUCGGA